CUACAUGGGUGGCUGUGUGGGACUGGGAGGGUCAGCCAUUGCACUCCGGCUGUGCUGACCCCUGCGAAUUUCUCGAAUGUGGAAAUCUCGAUUGCAUAAUUUCUGGUAGUGGAGGACUGCGUUCGCGCUCUCCCCUG
rnacentral:snRNA from 13 species